rnacentral:misc_RNA from 1 species
GCACCGAUACCGAUUGGUUGAUCGGAGUCGGCGAGUUUUUUGAUAGCGACCUAGGCCACGUCGUUUCAAGCCAAUCGCUGCAUGGCAAGCUGAUCGAAAAGNUUGGAAUAGCGAUACGGGCCGCUUUCGUAAAGACGUAGACGAUGCUCUGAAAGGGAACCCUUCCGAAGUCACGGAACGCUCAAUCAAGCCAAACAAGAAAUACG